UACGAAGGUCCCGAGCGUUGUUCGGAAUCACUGGGCGUAAAGGGAGCGUAGGCGGCGCGGUAAGUCAGAUGUGAAAUCCCGGGGCUCAACCCCGGAACUGCAUCCGGAUACUGCCGUGCUAGAGGAUUGGAGAGGUAGCUGGAAUUCUUGGUGUAGCAGUGAAAUGCGUGGAGAUCAAGAAGGAACACUCGUGGCGGAAAGCGAGCUACUGGACAAUAACUGACGCUGAGGCUACGAAGGCCAGGGUAGCGAAAGGG
rnacentral:rRNA from 1 species